rnacentral:sRNA from 1 species
GAAACAUUUUAGAAUGAAGUCCAUUGUUUAUCCAUGAGCUGCAAACACGAGAGAUAGCUACAGUGUGAGUUUCCCCACACCGUCCUGUUAAUGACCUCAACUCUGACCUUGGAAGUCCUCUUGAGAAAAAAGGGGAAAUUUAGUCCAGAUCAUUUAUGGCUGUUUCCU